rnacentral:rRNA from 1 species
UACGGAGGGUGCGAGCGUUGUCCGGAAUCACUGGGCGUAAAGGGCGCGUAGGCGGCCCGGCAAGUCAGUGGUGAAAGCCCGAGACUCAACUUCGGGUCGGCCACUGAUACUGCUAGGCUUGAGUCGACUAGAGGCAGAUGGAAUUCCGGGUGUAGCGGUGGAAUGCGCAGAUAUCAGGAGGAACACCGGUGGCGAAGGCGGGUCUCUGGGCAGUAACUGACGCUGAGGAGCGAAAGCGUGGGGAGCGAACAGG